rnacentral:rRNA from 1 species
AACGAACGCUGGCGGCAGGCUUAACACAUGCAAGUCGAGCGCCCCGCAAGGGGAGCGGCAGACGGGUGAGUAACGCGUGGGAACGUAACCUUAUCUUCGGGAUAGCCUCGGGAAACUGGAAUUAAUACCGAAUGUGCCCUUUGGGGGAAAGAUUUAUCGGAUAAGGAUCGGCCGGCGUUGGAUUAGCUAGUUGGUGGGGUAAAGGCCCACCAAGGCGACGAUCCAUAGCUGGUCUGAGAGGAUGAUCAGCCACAUUGGGACUGAGACACGGCCCAAACUCCUACGGGAGGCAGCAGUGGGGAAUAUUGGGCAAUGAGCGCAAGCCUGAUCCAGCCAUGCCGCGUGAGUGAUGAAGGCCUUAGGGUUGUAAAGCUCUUUCACCGGAGAAGAUAAUGACGGUAUCCGGAGAAGAAGCCCCGGCUAACUUCGUG